rnacentral:rRNA from 1 species
CCUACGGGAGGCAGCAGUGGGGAAUAUUGGACAAUGGGGCAACCCUGAUCCAGCCAUGCCGCGUGUGUGAAGAAGGCCCUCGGGUUGUAAAGCACUUUCAGUGAGGAAGAACGCCUGGUGGUUAAUACCCAUCAGGAAAGACAUCACUCACAGAAGAAGCACCGGCUAACUCCGUGCCAGCAGCCGCGGUAAUACGGAGGGUGCGAGCGUUAAUCGGAAUUACUGGGCGUAAAGCGCGCGUAGGUGGCUUGAUAAGCCGGUUGUGAAAGCCCCGGGCUCAACCUGGGAACGGCAUCCGGAACUGUCAAGCUAGAGUGCAGGAGAGGAAGGUAGAAUUCCCGGUGUAGCGGUGAAAUGCGUAGAGAUCGGGAGGAAUACCAGUGGCGAAGGCGGCCUUCUGGACUGACACUGACACUGAGGUGCGAAAGCGUGGGUAGCAAACAGGAUUAGAUACCCCUGUAGUC